GGGGCCUGCGCCUAUGGCCGGCCGCGGGGGGAGGCUGCUGGGGCUGGCGGCCGCGGCGGCGGCGAUGACAGCGGGGCUGAUCUAUGCCGUGUGGAGCUACGUGUCCUCCCCGCGGCCCGCGGCCCGCUCAGAGGCGCCCCAACCACAUCUGGGGGAGCCUCGGGCUGCUUCUCCUCCGCCAAUGGGGAGGAAAGAGAAGAAAGACACUCUCGCGGCGGGGGGAAAGGAGGCCGAGAGCAGCAGCUCGGCUAUUCCAUCCCUCAAGCAGUCACAGGAAAGAGCACAAAAUAAACAAGUCCUAGUGCUGGGCCUGGAUGGAGCAGGAAAGACCAGUGUCCUCCAUACCUUAGCAACAAAUAAAGUCCAGCAUAGCAUUGCUCCCACCCAGGGCUUCAAUGCAGUGUGCAUCAACAAUGGAGAUAUGCAGAUGGAGUUCCUGGAGAUUGGUGGCAGUGAGCCUUUCCGUUCUUAUUGGAAGAUGUACCUCUCCAAGGUAUUGGUGUUGAUUUUCGUGGUAGACUCGGCAGAUCACAGACGAUUACCUGAUGCCAAAGAGCAUCUUCAUCAAUUGAUCCAAAAAGAUCCAGCCCUUCCUCUAGUGGUUUUUGCAAACAAACAGGAUCUUGAAGAUGCAUAUUGUAUCACAGAUAUUCAUGAAGCUUUGGGAUUAUCUGAAAUUGGAGAUGAUAGAAAGUUGUUCUUAUUUGGAACCCACGUAACCAAGAACGGCUCAGAAAUCCCUUCCAGUAUGCAGGAUGCACGAGAACUUAUUGCCCAGCUGGUUUCGGAUGCCCAGUGACCGGUACCUCAGUGUCAGUCGGCCCUUAUAACCAGAGAAUGUUGUGUUGCAAGCUUGAAGCCAAAAAGAUUUGAAAAGUGGGUUAUAACUCUAACAUGGAGAUACUGACGCAGAAUUUUUCCUUCUGUAAUUUGAGAUCUGCGGUAAAACAUGAAACCCAAAGAUAAUGAAACUAGCUAAAUCCUCUCAACUUAAAUUAUAUCCUUCUUCUGCA